rnacentral:sRNA from 1 species
AGUGCUAUGAAGGUGACAGCGUGAGGUGACCCAUCUGGCCCCCCGCGAUGCUGGCAACACGGCGGCUGCUCGGCUGGUCGCUUCCCGCGCGGGUAUCUGUGCGUUUCAGCGGCGACACGGUGAGGCCCGGCCUGGCUGGGGCCACGGGUGUUCGGGGCCGGGUGUCGCGGCCGCGCCUGUGCACGAGCAGUCCCUGGGGUCUGUAGUGGCCUCUGGAGAGCCCUUCUCCCCAGGCCAGGCGGGAAGGCCCCCGCUCCGGCCUGGUUGAUGUAGGGGAACGGGUCCCAACGCGGGGCCGACUCCUUUGGCCCUCUGACUUGCUGGCUUCCCUUGUUUUACAGUCCUCGGCCUGGCGGAAGUUUUGCAGGUUAUGAAGCGCCCUAGUCUUUCAUUCCCUCCUUGUCACAGCCUUGUAGGGCGUGAAGGGGUCAUUGCCCCAUUUAGGGAUGCGCACCUCCUGAUUUCCCGUCCACUGCUCUGCGCCCUGAAGUGGCUGAAAAGUGCUCUUAAAAGGAUGGGAAUCCCGUCGCCCUCAGCUGCACCCAAGAAAACCUCAUUUGGCUCGCUGAAGGAU